CUGCACCGAGCGGCAGCGCUAGAAGAAGGAGGCGUGUGUCUGACAGAAGCACACGGCUAACAACUAAAACAACCCAAGUGUGUGUGAGUGGUCCCUUAAACAGCAACCGUGCCCCGCCGCGCCCCCACCCCCAGCGGAGCCGUCAUGUGGCAAGAGGCCCGCAAACAUGAGCGCAAGCUCCGUGGCAUGAUGGUAGAUUACAAACGCCGAGGAGAGCGACGGCGAGAGUACUACGAGAAGAUC